UGCCCCUGGAGGUCCAGGAGGCCGCGGGCUUGGUGCGCCGCCGCAAAGACGGCUCGGGGGCGUUCGAUAUGUUCCGGGGGCGG
rnacentral:tRNA from 1 species